CACGCGCCUUCGGGAAUCUUAGGUGCGCAAAGUCUGUUCGCCGCCGGGGUCUAUCACCCCCGCCCCUCGCCUCUGCCCGUGCGCGUGUGAGUUGUAGCGUCCCCUGGGGUCUGUUCUGGAGGAGGCCUGAGAGCGGGGUUGCCUGGGGCGUGGGGCUCUCAUCCCUCUUGUCAUGGUGAAGAAGAAGAGUAUACCCAGCGGCUGGCUUUGCUUUUUCAGAGGAAACAGAGACUCUCAGACAUGAAUACUGUGACACUGACCACCAGGCCAACUUAACAUCAGCAGAUAUCCUGUCUCAGAUGAAGAGAAUGGCCUGUCCAGAAGACAGCCAAAUACAUCCUUCAAAUAGACUUCACUGCAGGAGACAGAGUGGAUUCAUCCCGUAUUCUCCACAUGGACUUCCAUCUUCAUGAGUACUCCAAGAAGGUGGUUCAGUUGACUAUUGCAAAGUCUCAGGUAUGUCUUUAUCAGCAGCAUGAAAACGGACUAAUAGUACCAGUAGAGUGGGGCAUUGCUGAAAAGAUACCCGAAAAUGUGGAAGCAACUUUGGAACUGGGUGUUGAAAUAAUCUGGAGGGCUCAGAAGAAGAUA
rnacentral:antisense_RNA from 1 species